UUUUUUUGACAUUUUAAUUAUAGGUGACACUCUCCAUGGCCCAGAGGAAAUCUUUGUUGUUCCAAAAGUACAAACAGUGCACCCAGGACAAGAAAUCUCAGUCCAGCUGUGCUGCACGGACUCACAAUUUUUCCUUUCAUGAGGAAUUCUGAUCGCACAAGCCUUUCUACUCCCAAAGAAUCACAGGGAACAGCUUCCUCUCAACCCUACAGAAUGUGGGCACAAAUUGUGGGACCAAGUAAGCCUAACAUCGAGUGUGGUCUAUCCUACAGAGGAGAGAAGAUCCACCUCCCAGGGAUGCUGGACACUGGUGCGGAUGUGACCAUCAUUGCUCACUCGGAAUGGCCGGCACACUGGGAACUACAACUGGUGCAAUUACACUGCUCAGGUGAUCUCUGCAUCCUCUCUCCACCCCAAAGUAUUACCCAAGGGAACGUUUCUCAUCUGUGGUAACCGACUAUGGGCUGGGAACCCCUCACGGCUCCAGGGAGGUCCCUGUAGCCUUGGAAAACUUUCUACCCUUACUCCAAAUAUCACCUUGUUAUGUAAUUGGAAAAAAGAAAGCAAAUUAAAACACUACAAAAGAUCCUACACAGAAUUUGAUGAAAAUUCCAAUCCAAAAUUAUAUGAUGGAACAAACCAAAAAAGAUUGCAGUCUCCCUCUUCCUACCCUGGGUAGCUGCAGCCCUUGGUGAAAUAAAUCACUUAGGGUGCUGGCUCAGUAAGUAAGCCAAUGCUACCUCUGCCACCCUAAGUGAUCUUUUAAAGGAAGAAGAAACCACGAGACUUCCUACUGCUAGCCCACGGACAUGGCUGCCAAGACUUUGAAGGGAUGCGUUGCAUCAAUCUCCCUUCACGCUCAGAAUCCAUCCACGCAAACAUCCAGAAACUGAAGGAACUUGUGAAGGACUUAAAAGUAGAAAACAACCCAGACUGGGUCAAUGACCUUUUCGGUCAGAGGGGAUUAAUGGGAUGGGUUGCAUCUUUGGUUAAGGGAAUUUUGUGGAUUUUCAUUGUAAUUGUCAUUGUGUUAGCUAUGUUCUCAUGCCUUGUCCACUGUUUUAAAAGAACUAUAGGGCACGCCUUUUUACUAAAUACAGAAAGUGGAGUUGCAGCAGUCAGAGGCCCUGCAAGGCCUCCCUGGCGGUCACUCACCUAAGAUAAGAAAUGCCUAAGUCACGGUGACUGGACCAAAGAAGCCCCUCUUCUGCAUUCAGACCCUUCUUAUCUCUCUGUAAGGCUAUUGGUCGUAUUCUCCUCAACUCUGGCGACUGGACAAUUUCCAACACACCCCAGUACCCCAUAUAAACACCCAUUUCUGCCCAGUUUGGCAGAAGAACUGUCACUGCAUCCCUUCAGAGGAGCUGGCAAUAAAGGACAUCGCUGUGGAACCGCAUACAGCCUUUUCCUCUCUCUAUCCCUGUGUGUCUGCCAGAGGCACUUGUGAGCACAGAGCGAAAUCACCGAGAGCUGAACUCACAGAGCUGAAAUCACUCCAGAGGUGCUCGCUAAGUUGCCUGUGGCUGGGAGCUGAGCCGAGGGACCCAGACAGGCUGAGCCUGACAGCGCAGCGCUAUCCGGACACCCACGGCAGCGGCAGCCCGGGGGUCAGAUGGACCCCUGGGACCCCAGGCUGCAUUAACCAGGAGUGACUGGGAUCACAGAGGAACCAUAAAGGAAGUUACUGCAAUAAUACUGGGACUAUCUGGGAGUGACUGGAAUCAUACUGGGAGUGACUGGAAUCAUACUGGGUGACUUGGAGUGACUGGGACCUUACUGGGAGCAAAUGGUACCAUAAUGAGAGUGACUGGGUUCAUACUGGGAUCAUACUGGGAAGGACUGGAACCAUACUGGGAGUGCCUGGAACUAUUAUAGGGGUGAAUGGGAACACCUGGGAACAUGCUGGGAUCAUGCUGGGAUCACACUGGGAGUGACCAGGAUGAUACUGGGAUCACACUGAGUGUAACUGGAAGUGACUGGGACCAUACUGGGGGUGACUGGGAGCCACAGGGCCCAUGCUGGGAGUGGCCUGGGGGGAGCUGGGGGAACUGGCCCAGCUGGGGCUCAGGGUUGUUCUCCCCCAGGGCUGCCCCAGGUCCUGCUGCCACCCCUGGCCCCACAGAGCUGAGGGACAGGGCACAGCUGAGGGACAGGGGACAGGGACAGGGCACAGCUGAGGGACAGGGCACAGCCAGGGAACACGGCCUGGCCGAGGGACACUGAGCCCCAGCACUUUGGGCUGUUGCCCUUGGGCUCCCAGCACAGGCCCAGGGGCAGAAUCCCCUCCAGAAACUGCUGUUUGCUUUCAGCUCUGCUCUGGAACAUUCCCCAGGAGCCCCUGCAGUGGCUGCAGCCCAGCCGGGUGCCCGGGGCCACCAAAGCCGCUCCGGCAGUGCCCUCCUGCCCCGGGCAGGGCACGGAACACCCAAGGAAAGGCUCGUGCUGGGCUCAGGGCAGGGACAGGGCACUCCCCUGGUGCUGCCACGGGCACAGCAGAGCCGGCCUGGGCAAAGGAUUGGGAUCAAUGUCCCAUGGAAUCCCAGCAGGGAUUACUUCUCAUUGCACUGCUCUCAUUGGAUUGGUUAUCAAUUCCAAUCAUUUCCCCAUGGAAUUCCCAUGGCAGUGGGUUAGGGGGGGUCCAUCCAUGGAAUUCUCACCUGACUGGGAUGAGAGUGAGAUCUGGCCAUGGAAAUUCCAUGGCAAUUCCUGCAUUCCCAAGUCCCCCAUUCCUGAAUCCCCCAUUCCCAUAGGAAUUGCCCUUCCCUUCCCACACCCACCUUUGUGCUCCAGAGCCUCCCGACCAUAUCUGAUGUAUUUUGGGGGCCUUUCCACACAGGUGUGUCCCAGGUAAUGCUUCAUCUGCUCCACCAUGAUCCCUCUGGAUUCCCAGCACCUCUGGGAUAUCCAGACGGCACUGUUGGACACUGCAAAGCUCCUGGAUCCCAGCUGGAAGGAGAUGAAAUCCCAGCCCUCAUAGCCGUACUGGUGGGAUCCAUGGAUGCUCUGUUGGACAGGAGGUCACAGCUGGAAACCCCCUGCACUGUGUGGAGACCUGGGAACGAGGAGAGAACAGACCCAUGGAGUCGUGUCCCAGCCCCAGGGAGCCCCUUGGAGCUCCCUGGAUUCCCAUCCCAGCCCCACAGAUCCCCCCCAUCCCCAGAGAUCCCAUCCCAGCCCCUCAGAGUCCUCCAUUCCCACAGAUCCCAGCCCAGCCCCGGCUCCCCCCACUGCCCCUGCUCUGGUUGUACCGGCCCCGUCUCCAGGUCACUGUCAGCCACGGGCCAGUUCCUGUCCUUGAGCAGGGUCUGGCUGUCCCAAAAUCCCAGCUCUGGUUAUCCCAAUGUCCCAGCUCUGGCUGUCCCAGUAUCCCAGCUCUGGCUAUCCCAAUAUCCCAGCUCUGGCUGUCCCAGUAUCCCAGCUCUGGCUAUCCCAAUAUCCCAGUUCUGGCCAUUCCAAUGUCCCAGCUCUGGCUAUCCCAAUAUCCCAGUUCUGGCUAUCCCAAUAUCCCAGCUCUGGCUAUCCCAAUAUCCCAGCUCUGGCUAUCCCAAUAUCCCAGCUCUGGCUGUCCCAAUAUCCCAGCUCUGGCUGUCCCAAUAUCCCAGCUCAGCUCCCGCCCCCAUCCCCGGUGUCUGUGCCUCCAUCCGGCCCCGCUCGCUGCCGCAGCGCUCGCAGAGGGUCCCGUCCACGUCCCCCACAAUCAAGGACUGGGGGACCCCCGGGCCGGGCUCUGACAGCGCCACUUCCAGGAACUGCAGGGAGUGGAGAACUGGGGGGACACAGAGAUUUGGGGGAGCUGAGGGGGCUGAAAGUGAGAGUUUGGGGUUCCAGGGGGUCCACAGGCCAAGGAAAAGGGGGACAUGAAGAGAUGGCAGAGCUGGGAAGGAGGUUCAGGGGCUGAGAGCCAAGGAAAGGGGGUGCAGGGACUGGGAGAGCUGGGAUGGGGUGUCCAGGGAAUCCUGUGCCCAGGAAAGGGGGUGCCAGGGCUCCUGAGUGUGAGGAAAGGAGGGGCUGGGGGCUGGGAAAGGCAGGAAUGGGGGCCCAGGGGUCCCAGGUCAGGGAAAAGGGUGGGGCUGGGGGUUGGGAGAGGUGUGGGAUGGGAACAUGUUGAGUUGGUGCCGGAUAAGGGGGUGCAGGGGGGUCUCAGUGCCGGGCAAAGGGGUAAAAGGGUGUCUUGGUUCUCAGGAAUGGGGGUGCAGGGGGGUCUCAGGGUCACGGAAAUGGGGGGGCAGGGAUGGAGAGGUAGAAGGGAGUUCCAGGGGUCCUUGAGCCCAGGAAAGGGGAGUCCAGGGUUUCCCAAAAAGGGGUACCAGGGUGGGGACACCCGGGGUGUUUGGGAAGGGGGAGUUCAGAGGGUCUCUGGUUUUGCACAAAGGUGGGGCUGGGGGCUGGGAAAGGCAGCAAUGGGGGUCCAAGGUGUUCCAAGGCGUUCCAGGAUCAGGCACACGGGAAAUCUAGAGGCUGGGAGCAGGGAAAAGGGGAGCAGAGGGCCCUGAUGUCCGGAAAUGGGGGAUUCAGGGGGGUCCCUGUGCAGGAUAAGGGGAGCAGGGGGGGUCCCGGUGCCGGCAAUGGCGAUUCAGGGUCCCGGUGCCGGGGUCCCACUCCCCCCUCGCCCGCCAGGAGCGCCCCCAGCCCCAGCGCUGGAGCCACCGCGCUGCUCCUCCUCACUCCCAGUAUGAUCCCAGUAUGAUCCCAGUAGGAUCAGUCACCCAGGAGCUGCUCCCAGUAUGAUCCCAGUACCUGGCAUCCCCCCACCCCUCUCUGCGUUCCGACCUGUCCCGGCUCCAUCCCCGCC
rnacentral:lncRNA from 1 species